CAGACCUCAAAUCGGAAAAG
rnacentral:rRNA from 1 species